rnacentral:rRNA from 1 species
GACGCUGGCGGCAUGCUUACACUAUGCAGUCGAACGGCAGCACGGGAGCAUCCUGGUGGCGAGUGGCGACGGGUGAGUAAUAUAUCGGAACGUGCCCAGUCGUGGGGGAUAACGCAGCGAAAGCUGUGCUAAUACCGCAUACGAUCUACGGAUGAAAGCGGGGGAUCGCAAGACCUCGCGCGAUUGGAGCGGCCGAUAUCAGAUUAGCUAGUUGGUGAGGUAAAGGCUCACCAAGGCAUCGAUCAGUAGCUGGUCUGAGAGGAUGACCAGCCACACUGGAACUGAGACACGGUCCAGACUCCUACGGGAGGCAGCAGUGGGGAAUUUUGGACAAUGGGGGCAACCCUGAUCCAGCAAUGCCGCGUGAGUGAAGAAGGCCUUCGGGUUGUAAAGCUCUUUUGUCAGGGAAGAAACGGUGAGGGCUAAUAUCCCUUGCUAAUGACGGUACCUGAAGAAUAAGCACCGGCUAACUACGUGCCAGCAGCCGCGGUAAUACGUAGGGUGCAAGCGUUAAUCGGAAUUACUGGGCGUAAAGCGUGCGCAGGCGGUUUUGUAAGACUGUCGUGAAAUCCCCGGGCUCAACCUGGGAAUGGCGAUGGUGACUGCAAGGCUAGAGUUUUGGCAGAGGGGGGUAGAAUUCCACGUGCAGCACUGAAAUGC